UCGCAUCUGUGCAUGCAGCAUAUCAAUAAGCGGAGGAAAGGAAACUAACAAGGAUUCCCCUAGUAACGGCGAGUGAAGCGGGAAGAGCUCAAAUUUGAAAUCUUAAAGGGUUUCCCUUUACGAAUUGUAGUUUAAAGAAGUGUUUUCUGUUGAGGUUUUGGUAAAAGUUCUUUGGAAUAGGACAUCAUAGAGGGUGAGAAUCCCGUAUUUGACCUUUACUUUCAACUUUGUGAUACACUUUCAAAGAGUCGGAUUGUUUGGGAAUGCAGUCCAAAAUGGGUGGUAAAUUUCAUCUAAAGCUAAAUAUUGGCGAGAGACCGAUAGCGAACAAGUACCGUGAGGGAAAGAUGAAAAGAACUUUGAAAAGAGAGUUAAACAGUACGUGAAAUUGUCAAAAGGGAAGCGUUUGACACCAGUGUUGUUUUUCUGAAAAUCAAUUAAAGAACUGUUUAUGCUAAGCUGUUUAGACUUUAUCAGCUAUCUGUUUAGUUUUGAGCUUUUCUUUAAUGCACUUUUCAGUUAACAAGUCAACAUCAAUUUCUUUUGCUGUAAAAAAGCUUGAGGAAGGUGGCUUGAGAUUCGUCUUAAGUGUUUAUAGCCUCUUGCCUAUGCAGUCGGAGAGAUUGAGGUCUGCAGCGUAGAUCCUUCGGGGCUAAAUGCAUUUGUGCUAAGUUAUAGCAUUUUAUAGACAACUUGUUGACUAUGAUUUGUCUUGUAGCUUACUCGCUUAUGUUAUUUUACCUACGCUUAGGAUGUUGAAUCUGUGCGAGACUAC
rnacentral:rRNA from 1 species